GCCCCGCUCUUCCCGCACAGAAGAGCGGAUCGAGGAGCCGGCGCUCUCUGCCCUGACCGCGCCGGGUUCUCCCGAAUCGGCGGCUGGUACCGCACAUUCCGGUCGUCGAUGCACCUGAAGGGCUGCGGUGUUGGGGUCGGGUUGAGGGUCCCGCCCCGGCGC
rnacentral:ncRNA from 1 species